UACGAAGGGGGCUAGCGUUGCUCGGAAUGACUGGGCGUAAAGGGCGCGUAGGCGGAUGGCUUUGUCGGGCGUGAAAUUCCAGGGCUUAACCUUGGGGCUGCGUUCGAGACGGGUUGUCUUGAGUGGGGAAGAGGGUCGUGGAAUUCCCAGUGUAGAGGUGAAAUUCGUAGAUAUUGGGAAGAACACCGGUGGCGAAGGCGGCGACCUGGUCCUUUACUGACGCUGAGGCGCGACAGCGUGGGGAGCAAACAGG
rnacentral:rRNA from 1 species